rnacentral:lncRNA from 1 species
AGUGAUACACUACUAAAGUAGUUCAACCAUAAAACACAUGCAAACAUCGACCUUCACUCGGCCACCCACAUCAACACUACACCGACCAUUAUUCGACCGCAUUCACACACACCAACACCACAAUAACCCUCACUCGGCCACAUACACACACACUAACACCCUAACAGCCCUCGCUCGGCCACCCACACACUAACACCCAACGACCUCACUCAGCCAUCCACACACACUCUAACCCCCAAUGACCCUCACUUAGCCACCCACCUCAACCACACCAGCCACACACGCACAUCCUCACCACACCAGCCCUCACCCAACAGCCACCAAGUGACCAUACGCACGCAUACAGUUCUGCCACUAUUGGUAACCCACCGGCUACCCCUAGCCCACACACACACCAUUCCACCAUUAUUGGCUAAUCACCGAUCGUAUCAAAGCCACACACGCACUACAUUGUCUUGGUUCGCCUCUCAAUGGCUAUUCCAAGGCCACACACACACUAUUCCGCCACACCGGUACUCACCGGCCCUCCUCAAGGCCACACACACUAUUCCGCCACCAUUGGCACCCACCGACCAUCAUAUGGCCACAUACUCAUCCCACUACGCCAUCACUGGCAACCGACCAUUGAAUGGCCACUCAUACAACACACACAGCCCUUAUCGACACAUUAGAACACACACUCCUUCAAAAUCCAGUGAUGCUCCCAGAUUGUUUUACCUAUUUUCACCCUUAUCUCUCUAUCUCCACACAAUUCCUUCCUAUCAUCCCUAACCUCGACUCAGACGUUCUUACUACCUGAACUUUCUGCAACAUUAUUUAUUUCCUUUCUCCUUUCUCUUCUCAUAAACCAGAAAGUAAAAAUUCAAGGUGAAUCGCAAUAUUGAAAUUCAAAACUUUUUUACCCUUUUCUAGUAUUCGAUACUCACUUACCAAAAAAUCCGGCAAGAAUUUCAUAAUUGAUUUACCAUUACAAAGUUCACCAUUCAAAAUCCACUUACCUUUCCUUUCCGAGUGGGGUGUCGGAUCGCCUUCAUCUGUGGUUGCACUCUGAUAAAGUCUCUCGCGCUACCUCCUCCUUCUUAGCCUUGCGAGAGUUGCUUUCUCCUUUCUUUCUUAGUCGAGCUUUCUCCCUUUUUUCUUUAUAUUAACCUCACCCUCAAACCCUUCUGAUGUUGCAGAUGAGAAGAAGAAAAAGAAAGCUAUUCA